UCAACUGGUUGUUGGUGGGGUUAAACCCAUUAGUAACGAAGCUAACGCGUGAAGUUGACCGCUGGGGAGUACGGCCGCAAGGUUAAAACUCAAAGGAAUUGACGGGGACCCGCACAAGCGGUGGAUGAUGUGGAUCAAUUCGAUGCAACGCGAAGAACCUUACCUACCCUUGACAUGCCAGGGAGCCUGCUGAGAGGCGGGUGUGCCCGAAAGGGAGCCUGGACACAGGUGCUGCAUGGCUGUCGUCAGCUCGUGUCGUGAGAUGUUGGGUUAAGUCCCGCAACGAGCGCAACCCUUGUCACUAGUUGCUACGCAAGGGCACUCUAGUGAGACUGCCGGUGACAAACCGGAGGAAGGUGGGGAUGACGUCAAGUCCUCAUGGCCCUUAUGGGUAGGGCUUCACACGUCAUACAAUGGCGCAUACAAAGGGCUGCCAACCCGCGAGGGGGAGCCAAUCCCAGAAAGUGCGUCGUAGUCCGGAUUGCAGUCUGCAACUCGACUGCAUGAAGUCGGAAUCGCUAGUAAUCGCGGAUCAGCAAUGUCGCGGUGAAUACGUUCCCGGGUCUUGUACACACCGCCCGUCACACCAUGGGAGUGGGUUUCACCAGAAGCCGGUUGCC
rnacentral:rRNA from 1 species